UACAUCUGAAUUUUUUCUGCGUACGCACAUUUACAGCUUUGUGCGUACGCAAUGUUUUAGUAAGAUUUCCACGCAAGUCUUCGUACAUGAGGCCCCUGGUGUUGAGAGAAGCUUCGGUCUCCGGUCGAAUGCGCUAUGCAUAGGCCACUGCACUGACAAAUGUGGGAUCACUAUUUUUUACUGUAGGAAUGAGUAAUAACUUGUAUUUAUUUAUUUUUGUCAUUCUCCUAUUUUAGCGACAAUUGAAGUUAUCGACUUGACGGUGGAAGAAGAAGAAGAAAAGAUUGCAGAGCAACAAGAAUCAUUGCGAGAAGAAAAGUUUGAUGCAGCGCCGGGGACUUCUGUCCCUAAGAGACCAAGAAUUGUUUACAUACCAUAUGUAAAUAAAAGGCAAAAAAUUUCUGAAACUGUUGUGCAAGAAGAAUACGAUGCCGAUGAGGAUGAUGAUGAAGACGCAGAAUCAGAUCCAUGGACACCUCUUGCUAGCCCACUAAGUCCUUAUGCCAGUCCAUCAGAACCAAAUCCUUCUGUUAUUAAUUUUAAUUUAUCUGAAGAUCCAUGGUGCGAACAAGAUGCUUCCAACAGUAGUCAUCAUGAAUCAAGUCAGGGAGGCGCACAUCAUCCGAUUUACCCUUUUCAAGCACCAGUAGAAGAAGAAGAAGACCCGGAAGACAUCGAAAGAAGACCCGGAAGACGUCGAAAGACCACAGUGGCCCCAGCAGAAUCAGGAGGCCGGUAGCGACAGCAAUCACAACAAUAACAAAGACUUUUUCGAGUCGCCUGCUUAUUGUCUAAUUCGUGAAUAUCUGGACGGAUAUGGGGUAAAAAUUAAUGCUCUAUCGUAUUCUAUUGGCCAGCAGCAGCGUGUGAUAGAAAAUGUCAAGGAUUUCUUGUCUAAACAACAGCGACGUAUGGAUGAAAAAAUUGCCGAGCUUCAGCAAUUGAUGGGUAAAAGUGAACGGGAACAUCUGUUAAUAACGACACUACUCAUUUUUAUUAGCCAUUCAUUGAUGGAUGAAUAAUUCCUAAAAGGAAUAUUCUCAUCAUCUGUACGAUCGUUCAUCAUUGUACUACUUAAAAGACCAUAUUUUAUACUCUGAUAAAUGUUAUACUUGACUUACGUUUCUUAUUUUAAUCGACUUUAGUUGUUGGUCUAUAUUCAAUUUGUACUCCUUUGGCUUUCUUUUUAUUACGAACUUAGUCAUUUGUUUAGUGUUUGAGCUUUUAAAAUUGGUGUAAUACCGAUGUAUUUUGAUUCAGUUUAACAUUUUGAUGUGCUCUAAAUUGAUUUAACUGCUAGUGUUUUAACUUUUGAUGUAAUACAAAACCAUUUUCAAGUUUUAUUCUGCUUAAUAUUUUGAUGUACUCCAAAUUGCCUUAAAUGUUUAGUGUUUUAACUUUAGCUGUUGAUCUAUAUUAAAUGUUUAUUCAUUUGUGAUUGUGUUAUUCAGAACUUAGUCAAUUGUUUAGUGUUUGAGUUUAAAUUUGAUGU